UACCGAGGUCUCGAGCGUUAGGCGGAAUCACUGGGCUUAAAGCGUGUGUAGGCGGAUCGGUAAGUACCUUGUGAAAUCCCACAGCUUAACUGUGGAACUGCUUGGUAUACUGCCAGUCUUGAGCCAGCUAGGGGCUACCGGAACAAAUGGUGGAGCGGUGAAAUGCGUAGAUAUCAUUUGGAACGCCAAUGGUGAAAACAGGUAGCUGGGGCUGUGCUGACGCUGAGACACGAAAGCCAGGGGAGCAAACGGG
rnacentral:rRNA from 1 species